GGGUCUGUCCAUCGGUCGGGCUUCACGGUCCGUACUGGUGAGAUGGGUUCCUACCUUCUGUAUAACCGGCAUGCCAUUCAGUUGGUGCGCCGGGGAAGCAGAGCUAUUACCUUGAAAAAAUUAGAGUGCUUAAAGCAGGCUAGUUCUUGAAUAGAUUAGCAUGGAAUAAUAAAAUAGGACGGCAUGGUUCUAUUUUGUUGGUUUAUAGGAUCACCGUA
rnacentral:rRNA from 1 species